rnacentral:tRNA from 1 species
GGCGAGAUGGCCGAGCGGUCCAAGGCGGUUAGUACUACUACUCGAAAGGGGCGUGGGUUCAAAUCCCACUCUCGUCA